rnacentral:rRNA from 1 species
UUUAAAUUGAGAGUUUGAUCCUGGCUCAGGAUGAACGCUGGCGGCGUGCCUAAUACAUGCAAGUCGUACGCUAGCCGCUGAAUUGAUCCUUCGGGUGAAGUGAGGCAAUGACUAGAGUGGCGAACUGGUGAGUAACACGUAAGAAACCUGCCCUUUAGUGGGGGAUAACAUUUGGAAACAGAUGCUAAUACCGCGUAACAACAAAUCACACAUGUGAUCUGUUUGAAAGGUCCUUUUGGAUCGCUAGAGGAUGGUCUUGCGGCGUAUUAGCUUGUUGGUAGGGUAGAAGCCUACCAAAGCAAUGAUGCGUAGCCGAGUUGAGAGACUGGCCGGCCACAUUGGGACUGAGACACUGCCCAAACUCCUACGGGAGGCUGCAGUAGGGAAUUUUCCGCAAUGCACGAAAGUGUGACGGAGCGACGCCGCGUGUGUGAUGAAGGCUUUCGGGUCGUAAAGCACUGUUGUAAGGGAAGAAUAACUGAAUUCAGAGAAAGUUUUCAGCUUGACGGUACCUUACCAGAAAGGGAUGGCUAAAUACGUGCCAGCAGCCGCGGUAAUACGUAUGUCCCGAGCGUUAUCCGGAUUUAUUGGGCGUAAAGCGAGCGCAGACGGUUUAUUAAGUCUGAUGUGAAAUCCCGAGGCCCAACUUCGGAACUGCAUUGGAAACUGAUUUAUUUGAGUGCGAUAGAGGCAAGUGGAACUCCAUGUGUAGCGGUGAAAUGCGUAGAUAUGUGGAAGAACACCAGUGGCGAAAGCGGCUUGCUAGAUCGUAACUGACGUUGAGG